GAAUUGGAAAGAUGAAUGAGAUUUUUAACAAUAUAUUUUUGUUUUCCAUUGUUUUCAGGAUUUUCAUACAUCAAUCAAUUGGUUCCAGAUUUUAACAACAAUUACAGUAAUUAAAGAGUUUAACAUACUCAUUCAUUUACCAAUACUCAAAUAUUUAGGUGAGUUGGUUCCUGAUUACCUGCCGCAGGUGCCAGGUUUGCAUAGGAUAGUACAACAAACUAACAGUAAGGGAAAGGGUCUAACAAAAAUGGAAGUUCAUAACAGACUCUAUUGAGUCUGUAAGGCAAUACAAGAAAUGAGAUAACAAUUACGGUGAUGACAAGAUUCUGUACGCUCAUGAGUUCCUAAGUGAAACAGAUUGUGUUGCUGAUAAUUGUCCAAGCUAACUCAUAACCGAAUUCGUAACCAAAUUUUGACAGAAUGGAAGGGGAGAGAAUUGUGGGAUUUAAGAUGGUUCAAGAAC